rnacentral:rRNA from 1 species
UCGACUGCGUGAAGGUGGAGUCGCUAGUAAUCGCGGAUCAGCAACGCCGCGGUGAAUGCGUUCCCGGGCCUUGUACACACCGCCCGUCAAGUCAUGAAAGUGGGCAGCACCCGAAGACGGUGGCCUAACCCUUGUGGGGGGAGCCGUCUAAGGUGAGGCUCGUGAUUGGGACUAAGUCGUAACAAGGUACC